rnacentral:rRNA from 1 species
GACGAACGCUGGCGGCGUGCCUAAUACAUGCAAGUUGAGCGCUGAAGGUUGGUACUUGUCCCGACUGGAUGAGCAGCGAACGGGUGAGUAACGCGUGGGGAAUCUGCCUUUGAGCGGGGGACAACAUUUGGAAACGAAUGCUAAUACCGCAUAAAAACUUUAAACACAAGUUUUAAGUUUGAAAGAUGCAAUUGCAUCACUCAAAGAUGAUCCCGCGUUGUAUUAGCUAGUUGGUGAGGUAAAGGCUCACCAAGGCGAUGAUACAUAGCCGACCUGAGAGGGGGAUCGGCCACAUUGGGACUGAGACACGGCCCAAACCCCUACGGGAGGCAGCAGUAGGGAAUCUUCGGCAAUGGACGAAAGUCUGACCGAGCAACGCCGCGUGAGUGAAGAAGGUUUUCGGAUCGUAAAACUCUGUUGGUAGAGAAGAACGUUGGUGAGAGUGGAAAGCUCAUCAAGUGACGGUAACUACCCAGAAAGGGACGGCUAACUACGUG